rnacentral:lncRNA from 10 species
AGGUGAGCGGCGGGCGGGGAUGGCGGAGCAAUGGGAGCUGGACGAGGAAGGCAUUCGCCGCCUGGGGGCGCUGACGCUGGAGCAGCCGGGGAAUCCAGUAUUUAUGUUCACUCCAAGACCUGAAUUUAUAUUAUAACAACAUUCCUUCAUUAGUGGAAGUGUCCCGUCUACAACCGUUACCCUUCCUCAAAGAACUGGAUUUGAGACUUAAUCCUGUUGUAAGGAAAGAUACAGAUUAUAGGCUCUUUGCUGUAUAUACACUACAAACUCUGGAGAAAUUAGAUGACCGAACUGUACGUGAAGGUGAGAGAAAAGCUGCCAAGCUGCAUUUUAGUCAGUUGGGCAACAGUGAAAAUUUUCUUUUAGAGGUGGAAAAAAGCUCUAGGGAGAAGACAAUGAAAAACUGUGUAACAGGUGAGAGCUCUGCAUCAAAAGUCAGUGCUAAUGUUGACAGCAGGAUUGAAAUGGACUCAAACAAAGGACUUUUUAUUCCCUUCCCCAACCGGGAAAUAAAGGAUUCCCUAAGUACUUCUGCAACUCAGGGCAAUGGUACACGUGAUCAGAAAUUAGACACCUUCCCACUGGGGAC